UACGAAGGGGGCUAGCGUUGUUCGGAAUCACUGGGCGUAAAGGCGCGUUAGGCGGCUUUGCAAGUGGCGGGUGAAAUCCCUCGGCUUAACCGAAGGGAACUGCCCUGUCAAACUGCAUGGCUUGAGACCGGGAGAGGUGAGUGGAAUUCCCAGUGUAGCGGUGAAAUGCGUAGAUAUUGGGAGGAACACCAGUGGCGAAGGCGGCUCACUGGACCGGUACUGACGCUGAUGCGCGAAAGCGUGGGGAGCAAACAGG
rnacentral:rRNA from 1 species